UACGUAGGGUGCGAGCGUUGUCCGGAAUUAUUGGGCGUAAAGAGCUCGUAGGCGGUCUGUCGCGUCGAUCGUGAAAACUUGGGGCUUAACCCUGAGCUUGCGGUCGAUACGGGCAUGACUGGAGUUCGGCAGGGGAGACUGGAAUUCCUGGUGUAGCGGUGAAAUGCGCAGAUAUCAGGAGGAACACCAGUGGCGAAGGCGGCUUCUGGUCUGUAACUGACGCUGAGGCGCGAAAGCGUGGGGAGCAAACAGG
rnacentral:rRNA from 1 species